AGCAGCCGCGGUAAUUCCAGCUCCAAUAGCGUAUAUUAAAGUUGCUGCAGUUAAAAAGCUCGUAGUUGAAUUUCGGGAUCAAUAUGUUGGUCGUGCCUUGGUACGUACUAGCUCAUUGGUUUCUCCCUUCUGACGAACCAUGAUGUCAUUAAUUUGAUGUCAUGGGGAAUCAGGACUGUUACUUUGAAAAAUUAGAGUGUUUAAAGCAGGCUCGCGCUUGAAUACAUUAGCAUGGAAUAAUGAAAUAGGACAUUUGAUUCUAUUUUGUUGGUUUCUAGGAUCGAUGUAAUGAUUAAUAGGGAUAGUUGGGGCAGUUAGUAUUCAAUUGUCAGAGGUGAAAUUCUUGG
rnacentral:rRNA from 1 species